AAAACAAUAACCAAAUUAAUGUCUUUUUAGUUUCAAAAUGUCAUGUUCAAAUCUAUUAACCAUUUAAUCUAUUAAAAAUAAAUAAAAAUUAAUUAUGUGAAAGUUAUAUUUUUAAUUACAAGAAAUUUGAGAAAUGAAAUUAUUUUUUUUCAAAAUCUAAAUAUCCGAAUCCGAUCCGAAAUAACCGAAUCCGAACUAAAAAUACCCGAACCCGACCCAAAGUACAGAAAUAUCCGAACGGGUUCUACAC
rnacentral:lncRNA from 1 species